rnacentral:rRNA from 1 species
CUUAAAGGAAUUGACGGGGCCCGCACAAGCGGAGGAGCAUGUGGUUUAAUUCGAUGAUACGCGAGGAACCUUACCUGGGCUCGAACGUAAGAUGACUGUAGGUGAAAGCUUACAUCUCUUCGGAGCAUUUUACGAGGUGCUGCAUGGUUGUCGUCAGCUCGUGCCGUGAGGUGUCGGGUUAAGUCCCAUAACGAGCGCAACCCCUACCUUUAGUUGCCAUCAGGUAAUGCUGGGGACUCUAAAGGAACUGCCUACGCAAGUAGUGAGGAAGGCGGGGAUGACGUCAAAUCAGCACGGCCCUUACGUCCAGGGCUACACACGUGCUACAAUGGCCGAUACAGAGGGCAGCUACCUGGUGACAGGAUGCAAAUCUCCAAAGUCGGUCUCAGUUCGGAUCGGAGUCUGCAACCCGACUCCGUGAAGUUGGAUUCGCUAGUAAUCGCGCAUCAGCCAUGGCGCGGUGAAUACGUUCCCGGGCCUU